UAUUAUGUGCCUAACUCAUUAAAUUAACGAAAAGCUCUAUUCUACCAUUUCAUUUGAAAUUUAAUAAACAAAAAAUACAAUAAAAUCCAAGGUUAAGACAAUUAUGUGCCCGACUCAUGAAAUUAGCGAAAAGGUUAAGGCAAUUAUGUGCCCGACUCAAUAAAUUAACGAAAAGAUCUACUCUGUCAUUUCAGUUGGAAAUUUAAUAAAAAAAAGUUCCAAUAAAAUCCAAGGUUAAUUAAGGAGCUCGUCUAAGGUUAUAUAAUGCCUUUUAUCUCAUCCUCAACAUAGACAAGCAGUUUAUACGAGUAAAAAGUAAUGGUUAAAAAUUCUAAAGUUGUUUGCUUCUUCACAAAUAGCCUUAUUAUCUUUCUUCUUAUGAAUGCGGCAACCGGGGACGGAUAUUGUUGGUUUUUAAGCCAAAGUUAUCAUGGGAGAUGCCGAUCCACAAAAAAUUGUCAAUUGCUCUGCAUGGAGGAAGAUGUGAAGGCAAUAAAAGGAGAAUGUCGUGGCUUUUGGCAUUCAAAAUGCUACUGCUACAAAGAAUGUAUCUGAUCGAGUGCAACCAAUAUUCAGAAAACAUAUUAAUUAAUUAAUUUUGUAAUUUUUUUUUUUAGAAAAUAUUAUUGCAACUCUACACUACAAGAAUGUGUCUCAUUAGUGGCGAGUUGAAAGUGGCUGGUAAUAGUUCAUUAUUAGCGGCCACAUGUCGCCGCUAUUCACCAAACAUUAGCGGCGAGCCCAACAUGUUGCCGAUAAUAGUCAUUUGCGUCCGACUAUUACCAACGAGCGCAUUAGCGACCACAUAUUGCCGCUAUUGAGCUUAUUUUUUGUACUGUACGUACGUGUAUGUUUUGGGAUGAUUGUUGGUUGUUAAUUUCGUUUCUUUAUAGAUAUAUUAAUGUUCCUUGCUAA